rnacentral:rRNA from 1 species
GUGAUCAUCGAAUCUUUGAACGCACCUUGCGCUCCCUGGUAUUCCGGGGAGCAUGCCUGUUUGAGUGUCGUGAAAUUCUCAACUUCACUUGUUUUUUCGAUGAGUGAAGCUUGGAUGUGGGAGUUGCAGGCCUCUCAGAGGUUGGCUCUCCUGAAAUGCAUUAGCAGAGGCUGUCAUUGCACUUGAUGUGAUAAUUAUCUACAUCAUAGCUGAAUGAUGGUGCUUUCUGCUCUCUAAUCGUCUUUGGACAACUUUUUGAACUUUGACCUCAAAUCAGGUAAGACUACCCGCUGAACUUAAGCAUAUCAAUAAGCGGAGG